AAAACAGAUUUUAUUGACCCAAAAGUGACAUUCUGUUGAGUAUCAAUGGCAGAUAAAAGGCAAAAAUAGAGAUUAUAGGGAUUGGGGCUUCUCUAGGUGAAACCCACAUGUGUGAGUCGAUUCCCUCCUAUACACGGAGAGUUUAAGAAAACUGUAGAAACAGCUCUGUCGUGGGGACCACCAGGCUUUCCCCUGCCACCCCGCGAAGUCCUUAGGAGAAUUCAAAUUUGGCGAUAUAACGAUAUCUGUAUACUAUUUUCCUAAAUUUAUUUUCUUUUUCCACUUUGCUCGUGUUUUUCCGUCAGGUGCAGUACUGAAAGGCAGCAAGUUAAGCAAAGGGACUGGAUCAUCAGGAAAUCAAACGCUGACAUUAGCUGCUGCCUGUCCCAUAUAAAAAGACAGGCACGCAGGUAUAGAGACAACCGGUUUAUAGGCCAGAAUUUAUGUUCUAAGGUCUCUGUCAUGUAUUAAUUUUCUCUCAUAUCUUAGCAAGAAAAAAAAUACUUUGGGGUGAUAAUGACUUUGGUGGUGGGAAGCUGGCUGCCACCACUCAGCAGAGGAGCUGGGCCAUGGGAGACACAGGAGGGUGCCCAGCAGGUCCAUGCCAGAGUCCAGCCAUGGCAAGACUGAGCCACGCAGACCUGCCUCGGAGCCCGGGAACUCAACCUGGAACCCACCACUCUCUCGGACCCCAGAACACCUCCCACAUGGCUCCCUGAGCUUGUCGACUUGCAGAUGGUCAGCCCCAGCAGCCUGCCCCACCCAGGUGUGACAGGGCGCUCAGGGCCUACAUGCAGCUCAGUGCUAACAAGCUGCCCUACUGGGGGCAUGCGUCCUGCGUGCUUGUCCCACAAUGCUGCAGCAAAGGGAUGGCCAGGUCAGGGCAGCCCGGCUACACAGCUAGGCCAUGAUGCCCCGAUGGGUUCCACCUGGAUCCUGAGUGCCCCAGGCAGGGCUGCUGGAGGCUGUGUGUGUGCACAUGUGCAUAUGUAUGCAGGUGUGUAGUACAUGCACAUGAGUAUGUGCAUGAGUGUGCAGGCAUGUAGGUUGUGCGCGUGUGUACGUGUGUGCACACAUGUGCGUGUUCAUGUGCACAUUUGUGCGUGUGUGUGCACACGCGCAACGCUUCCUCCUGCAUUGCAUCAGAACACCAGCCAGGAGUAAAAACUUCAGUCACCAGCAAUUGGAUCUUCACAGCGAAUAACCAUCUGACUGAUUUUUAAAAGUUAAACAAUUGUUUAAUUGACUUUUCAGUCAAAAGCUCAGUUGUGUGGUUCAGAUUCUUGUCGCCAAGGACAGAGCACUCCCUCUGGCUAAGGAAAGAUGUGAACACCCAGACCUCUGGGGCCCUGGAGCACCCGCUUAUCAACGCUAAGGGGACGUGGCUUGUUUGGCGACUACACCGCCCAAUUCUGUACACAGCAUCACACGUUAUCUUUAUCACAUUAUUCCCUCAAAAGCAAACCCCCAGCCAUGUGAGCAGCGAGCGUGUACUGCUGAGCCAAGUCACAGCUUCCUGUUUAAAAUGACAGCUGACCCGUGUAAAAAUGGGAAAUGGGUGCAGCUCAAUUUUGCCUCAGCAUUGAAUAAACUCGUGGCAGGGAAGCAGGGUGAGGCCCAGCUCUAGAAAGGCCCAAGGACUGGCAUUAUUUUCCAAAUAGCACAAAGAAUGAGUUCUGAACAAGCUUAAAGUUUCAAAAAAGUAGAAUGAGCAUGACAAAAAAUUGCUGCCAUGGGUUGGAUGACAUGAAGCUUGGGACUGGAGUGGUAUCUAGGCAGUCAGUCCCCGUCACUCCCCCAGGAAGGAAGUCGGGCGCCUUCAGGACCCUCCACUCAUUUCCCUGAGAACUGGUCUUUGGAACAAUCUGAGUUUAGGGAUACGUGGGAUUCUAUUUCCUCUAGUAAACUUAAAAUUUUAAACCCUGGUGUCCCCACAUCAUUAUAUCAACCUCUACAAAAGCAGAGGUGACAGUGUGCGUGGAGUAAGGAACACUGGACUUUCAAACAAAUUCUCCAGUUUGUUGGGCUUAGAAGAGGCUGGUUCACCCCGACUGGGGCUGGGGGCAAAGCAGCUGCCUGGGGCACCUCCAGAUUCUCCCUGCCUCACACGGAUGACCCACCCCCACCUAGUUCUGCCUUCUGAUCUAGUCCAAGAAAAGCCUGGAAGUUUAGAGAGGUCACUGAUUUUGAUCACAAAUUUAAAGACUCAUAAGGCAUCUACACUUUUAAGCUGUACAAAAUGUGUAAAACUAAACACCUCAGAGAACAAAAAGCACACGGGAGGUUUGAAUGCUUGCGGCUCUGCUGCCCGUGUUCACCCCGUUCAGACCGGCCAGGCCGCCCCUGCUGUGCAGCUCUGGGGGGUCAGUCUUGCAGCCACCACUGAGGUCUCUGCCCAGGGAGCAGGAAGCCCCCGGCAAUGCCACACGGUUGGAUCUAGGUGGACAAGGAAAGUGUUUUAACAGUCACUGUGUGCUGCCUCUUACCACAUUUCCGCUCAGGUUGGUGGUCAGCAGGCUGGCUGUCCUGGGGCAGGAGGGGUGGGGCCCUAAGGACCUCACCGCCUGGGAGAGCAAAGGCCCAAUAUGGACCAGUGUCUGAGCAGGCCCGUGGAUGAGAACCUAGCACAUUGGCCAUGUUGAUUCUUUUUCUUUGGGCGGCACCCACACAGCAGGGAGAGGACAAUGGCCCGUUGCUCUGAUGAGACUCCCGAGUUUCAUAGUGAUUGUCCGAGCCACCAGCAGGGACGGGUUCGCACCUCCACAGAUCAGCCCACUAGCUGGUGACAGGUCUCACUUCCCCUCCACUGGCCUCUGCUGCGCUAGGGCAGCCUGGCCAGGUCUGUGGGGUGCAGGGAAGCUCUGGCUUUGGUCUGGACACCUGGGGACUGAGGAUAAGUCUCACCCCAGAGCUUGCACCUGGAAACUACGCUCCCAUCCCUAAAUUUGGGUACUUUUUCACAGUGAGAAGCGGACUCCUCUACCCCAUACAGACACUGCACAUGAUUUCUAUAGCUUCUCUCACCUCAAGUACUUGUGCUCACCCUGGCAGAGCUCUGGCCGCGUCCCCACAUCCAUCUACAGGAGGUACACACCUUUCAGCCAGGUGGGGCCCCCGCUGUCCAGAGUCAGCAGCUACAUGCCCGGCACCACGAUUCCAGGCACAUGGGAAUCAGAUCACAUUUUCCCAAGACUCGGAGCCUGCCCGGCUCCCAGCCGGCCCACCAGGCAGAUGGAAACACACUGCACCCUUGUCGGGAACUCGUGCCACACUGUGUGUAAACAUGCACACACAUCCUGAUGGUUUACAAUUAUGAUCCUCACAUCAGUUAAGGCUAUUUAAGGGUAUAUUUUAAGUGAAGUGCUAUAAUAUUCAAAAUUACCAGAUUAAUGAAUUAAUCAACAGGAAAAUGAUCUUUGCCAGAAAAACUAUGACUGUGAUUUUCCAAAAUAGGAUUAGAUUGUUCAUAUGUAUAACCAAAAAUAAGCUCUGCUUUGCAGUAGAAACCACGCAGCCAGUUUCAAAAGAAAGAAGGUAGGGGACCUGGUGUCAGUGUCUCUACACACACACACAAAGUCAGCUUCAGAAGAGGCCGGACCGAGCGGACUAGCUGGCGGGGCACAACUGUGCGCGCUCGACACUCGUCUGGCCACGUUCAACCACUUGCCCCAAGUGGCUGUGGGUGGACGUCCUCUAACUCCAACGUGAUGAAUAUUCUCCGAUAACAUAGCCAU